UACGUAGGGCGCGAGCGUUGUCCGGAAUUAUUGGGCGUAAAGAGCUCGUAGGCGGCUUGUUGCGUCUGCUGUGAAAUCCCGGGGCUUAACCCCGGGCCUGCAGUGGAUACGGGCUGGCUAGAGGCAGGCAGGGGAGAACGGAAUUCCUGGUGUAGCGGUGAAAUGCGCAGAUAUCAGGAGGAACACCGGUGGCGAAGGCGGUUCUCUGGGCCUGUACUGACGCUGAGGAGCGAAAGCGUGGGGAGCGAACAGG
rnacentral:rRNA from 1 species